UCGAAAAUAUAAAGAAUUAAUGAGGGUAGUUUUGGAAGAGAAAAAAUAAUUUCAGCAUUUGGCGGAAUGUUGAAAGCCCUACUAGCUUUGGGCUUUCAGAAUUUUGAAAGCAAGUUGAAAGCUGAAAGUCAGCUUCAAAGUUGAACCAAACGCAUCUUAAAGCUGACAUCUAGAUCUUGGAUCGGAUGAAUAUUGAUUAUUGCAUCACGAGUUCUGAGAAUUGUUGCUUAAUAUGGUUGCACCUUUCAAAUUCUGGUCACUAGGUAGGACACAAUUAUCCUUGCAGGAGCCAUGUAUGGAAGUGGCAGAUCUCAAAAUUGGGCUGCCAAGGGUCCGGUGCUCCUGGGGGUGAAAGCAGUGGUAGCCAAAAGCUUUGAGAGAAUACAUCGUGCUGGUAUGGGGGUCAUUCCACCGUGUUUCAAGCCAGCGAGGAUGCAGACAUUUUGGGAUUGACAGGGCACAACCAUUACACCAUAGACGUUCCCAGUCUAAUCAGUGAGAUGAGGCCUGCCCAGGAUGCGACUAUUACAACCAACACCAGGAAAUCAUUCACUUGCACCCUGUGAUUCGAUAUUGAGGUGAAGUGUCUGCAGCCUUUUUCUAGUUUUGUUCACUGCACUGCCACUCCAUUUAUUGAUUCCCAUAAUAUUACGGGUUUGAAUCGCUGAGAACUCCUGUUUUUGUGGUUUGUAUCUUGGAUUUGAUUGCUUGUAGGUAGAGCUGGCUGUUGAAAUAGUUUAUAUCAUAAAAAUAAAUUAUUGUUGGAAAUGAAAAGAUGUGAUUAUCAAAUAUGAAGAGAAGUGAUUGUUGACAUGAA